rnacentral:rRNA from 1 species
AAGAGACAGCAGUAGCCACGGUAAUACGGAGGGGGCUAGCGCUGCUCGGAAUGACUGGGCGUAAAGGGCGCGUAGGCGGCGAUCAAAGUCAGGCGUGAAAUUCCUGGGCUCAACCUGGGGGCUGCGUUUGAUACUUGAUUGCUAGAGUGGGGAAGAGGGUCGUGGAAUUCCCAGUGUAGAGGUGAAAUUCGUAGAUAUUGGGAAGAACACCGGUGGCGAAGGCGGCGACCUGGUCCUUGACUGACGCUGAGGCGCGAAAGCGUGGGGAGCAAACAGGAUUAGAUACCCCCGUAGUCCCUGUCUCUUAUAA